GUGCCAGCAGCCGCGGUAAUACGUAGGGGGCAAGCGUUGUCCGGAAUUACUGGGCGUAAAGAGCUCGUAGGCGGUUUGUUAAGUCGGGUGUGAAAGCCCUCGGUUCAACCGAGGAACUGCAUCCGAUACUGGCAGGCUAGAGUCUGGUAGGGGAAAGCGGAAUUCCAGGUGUAGCGGUGAAAUGCGCAGAUAUCUGGAAGAACACUGGUGGCGAAGGCGGCUUUCUGGGCCACGACUGACGCUGAGGAGCGAAAGCUAGGGGAGCAAACAGGAUUAGAUACCCUGGUAGUCCUAGCCGUAA
rnacentral:rRNA from 1 species